rnacentral:rRNA from 1 species
CCUACGGGUGGCAGCAGUGGGGGAUAUUACACAAUGGGGGGAACCCUGAUGCAGCGACGCCGCGUGGGUGAAGAAGCGCCUCGGCGCGUAAAGCCCUGCCAGCAGGGAAGAAAAUGACGGUACCUGAAGAAGAAGCCCCGGCUAACUACGUGCCAGCAGCCGCGGUAAUACGUAGGGGGCAAGCGUUAUCCGGAUUUACUGGGUGUAAGGGGGGGCAGACGGCGAUGGAAGCCAGGAGGGAAAGCCCGGGGCCCAACCCCGGGACUGCUCUUGGAACUGGGUGGCGGGAGUGCAGGAGGGGCAGGCGGAAUUCGUGGUGUAGCGGUGAAAUGCGUAGAUAGCAGGAGGAACACCGGUGGCGAAGGCGGCCUGCUGGACUGCAACUGACGUUGAGGCCCGAAAGCGUGGGGAGCAAACAGGAUUAGAUACCCUAGUAGUC